UUUUCCCGGGGGGUUCUACAUUCAAUAAGCGGAGGAAAAGAAACCAACAGGGAUUGCCCUAGUAACGGCGAGUGAAGCGGCAACAGCUCAAAUUUGAAAUCUGGCGUCUUCGGCGUCCGAGUUGUAAUUUGCAGAGGGCGCUUUGGCAUUGGCAGCGGUCCAAGUUCCUUGGAACAGGACGUCACAGAGGGUGAGAAUCCCGUACGUGGUCGCUAGCCUUUACCGUGUAAAGCCCCUUCGACGAGUCGAGUUGUUUGGGAAUGCAGCUCUAAAUGGGAGGUAAAUUUCUUCUAAAGCUAAAUACUGGCCAGAGACCGAUAGCGCACAAGUAGAGUGAUCGAAAGAUGAAAAGCACUUUGGAAAGAGAGUUAAAAAGCACGUGAAAUUGUUGAAAGGGAAGCGCUUGCAGCCAGACUUGCCUGUAGUUGCUCAUCCGGGUUUCUACCCGGUGCACUCUUCUAUAGGCAGGCCAGCAUCAGUUUGGGCGGUUGGAUAAAGGUCUCUGUCAUGUACCUCCUUUCGGGGAGAACUUAUAGGGGAGACGACAUGCAACCAGCCCGGACUGAGGUCCGCGCAUCUGCUAGGAUGCUGGCGUAAUGGCUGUAAGCGGCCCGUCUUGAAACACGGACCAAGGAGUCUAACAUCUAUGCGAGUGUUUGGGUGUCAAGCCCGAACGCGUAAUGAAAGUGAACGGAGGUGGGAACCUUUCGGGGUGCACCAUCGACCGAUCCUGAUGUCUUCGGAUGGAUUUGAGUAAGAGCAUAGCUGUUGGGACCCGAAAGAUGGUGAACUAUGCUUGAAUAGGGUGAAGCCAGAGGAAACUCUGGUGGAGGCUCGCAGCGGUUCUGACGUGCAAAUCGAUCGUCAAAUUUGGGCAUAGGGGCGAAAGACUAUCGACUAACUUAGCCC
rnacentral:rRNA from 1 species